rnacentral:lncRNA from 10 species
CGGGGCCGCCUUUUCAAAUUCGGCGAGGUGGGCUCUAAGCCGUCAAAGGGGGCGUGGGGCUUUUUUGUUAACCCUCGGCGGUCCGGGGCCGAGGAGGCGGCAGUGGCGGCAGAGCUAGGGUGCGAGCUCCGCAGGAGGUCCCUGGAGCCUAACACCCCGAAAGCCAGACCUCGCGCCCAGGCCCCCGCUACACACCUUAGAACCUUUGAAACCAAACCUUCUUCGGGUCCGCGAAUGCUUUCGGAGCGCCCAUUCUGUGUCUGCCAAUUUCACCUGGACGAUGUUGGUGAAUCCUCGCCACACUGCCCUCGAUGGUCCCAUUCAGAAGUGGAAACUGAGGCUGGAGAAAGUUAAGCCAGACAAAUGCGAGUCUUCCGAUCCUUGUGCAGGGCUCUUUGGAUCAAAGCGCUGCGUUCCCGUGAGAAACUGACCAGAGCUUCCCAGGAUUCUCCUCCUUCCCCUUUAACCUCCAGCCCCCACCUGCCCCGCUGUCUCUUCCAGGGACUCACACCUGUGCACACCACAGGGGCUCAUACCUGUGCUCACAGUGUGUCCAGAAUUGGUGGGUCCUUGGUCUCACUGACUUAAAGAAUGAAGCCACGGACCCUCACGGUGAACGUUACAGCUCUUAAGGUGGUGCGUCUGGAGUUUCUUUCUGAUGUUCGGAUGUGUUCGGAGUUUCUUCCUUCUGGUGGGUUCGUGGUCGCGCUGGCUCAGGAGUGAAGCUACAGACCUUCACACCCCACCCAGGAAGCCCAGAGCUCAUGAAAAAAACCGUGAGGAGGAGGCAUCUGUGCGGCUUUGGAGACCAGCCUCAGGCUACAGGUUGCAAGAGGAAGCCAUGGUCUUCUGAAGAGCAAGUCCAGGGCAGUUGUCGUGGCUCACACCUAUAAUCCCAACAGUUUUGGAGGCCGAGGUGGGAGGAUCACUGGAGCCCAGGAGUUUGAGAACAGGACAAUAAAGUGAGACCCCAUCUCUACAAAAAUAAAAAAAAAUUAGCCAGGCAUGCUAGCGUGCGCCUGUGGUCCCAGCUAAAUGGAAGGCUGAGGCAGGAGGAUCACCUGAGCUCAGGAGAUCAAGGCUGCAGUGAGCCAUGUUUGUGCCACUGCACACCAGCCUAGGUGACACAGCAAGACACUGUCUCAAAAAAUAAAGAAAAUACGUGCAUAAAUAUAAAAAGGAGACCAGGUCCGCAGCUGGAGGGCUGGGUGGCAGUGGGAAAUGAAAAUCCAAGGAGCAAAACCAAAAAAGUGUGCAAAAGCCAGGCACGGCAGAGAGCAAGCCAUGGCCCCGGCGAUCGCUGAGAGGGCGGCGCUGCCCCGUCCGCCCCCAGACAUCGGCAUCCUCCCCUCCCAUAGGCCCUCAGACUCAGCAAGUUAAAAACUGAACCCGGGCUGGGCAUGGUGGCUCACACCUCUAAUCCUAGCACUUUGGGAGGCUGAGGCAGGCCAGAUCACAUGAGACCAGGAGUUCGAGACCAGCCUGGUCUAUAUCGUGAAACCCCGUCUUUACUAAAAAUACAAAAAUUACCAGGGUGUGGUGGCGCACGUCUGUAAUCCCAGCUACUCAGGAGGCUAAGGCACGAGAAUCGCUUGAACCCAGGAGGUGGAGGUUGCAGUGAGCCACUGUGCUCCAGCAUGGGUGACAGAGGGGGACUGUCUCAAAAAGGCAAAAACAAAAAAACCAAAACCGAACCCAAUCAGGCGCUGUGACUCAUUCAUAUAAUCCCAACGCUUUUGGAGGUUGAGGCGGGAGGAUCACUUGAGCCCAGGAGGUCGAGGCUGCAGUGCACUGUGAUCGUG